rnacentral:rRNA from 1 species
CCCUUAGACGUUCUGGGCCGCACGCGCGCUACACUGACCAGUGCAACAAGCAUCCGUCCUUGGCCGACAGGCCCGGGCAAUCUUUGAACGCUGGUCGUGAUGGGGAUAGACUUUUGCAAUUUUUGGUCUUCAACGAGGAAUUCCUAGUAAAUGCAAGUCAUCAACUUGCAUUGAUUACGUCCCUGCCCUUUGUACACACCGCCCGUCGCACCUACCGAUUGAAUGGUCCGGUGAAGCCUCCGGAUUGGCGCGCACCUCGGUGCCGCCGAGAAGUUGGCUAAACCUUACCAUUUAGAGGAAGGUGAAGUCGUAACA